AUCCUACACUUUACUUUAUAUCAAGGAAUGGCAUAGGACUGUUGACUACGCUAAUCCUCUCCACGCUACCUAUGAAAUCAAAGUUGUCGUUGAAAUCGCCCUGCAAGUCCUGGCAAAUGGUAAACACUUGCGGUAUGAAGUUUUCGCGACUGCUGCUCGACAAGCGCGACAUGGAGGCACUGGUAUAUUAAGUGCGCCGGCAGUCGAGAGGUUUCGAGUCGGCUGGCAGUUGAUAAAGGAGAACCAGGUCACAAUUAGCAUAGCCAAAGCGUUUCGAUAAGGGCCAACCCCUUGCCACCACUUACAGAGGUUCCUCAGCGGGCAGUUGGCACAAUUGCAGCGCGGAGCCGCGAUUUGAACGGUUACUGUGUCUUUGGAGUCACGCGCCAUCGACGGUGAGUUCACCAGAAAGGGCGGAUCGCCCUCCUUGUCCGACUGCGACUCCAAGAAAUCCUUCUCCAGCGGGCACUUGUGCUCGCAACAGAUGCAGGCGUAGGCGGCGGAGGCGGAGGGCACCGAGGAGCUGCUCUCCAGCGCAUCCUUGCUUGUCGUGGGCUGCUCAUCGUCUCUUGGUUCGCUUGGCUCUUGGUACUUGGCUGCUAUAGCGUUCGGCAACGGCACCUGGCUGAGAAACGACUUAAUGUUGUUUUUCGGCAUGGGGCUAUGUCCAAUUGGCGACAGUUGCCAAAGGAACAAGUUCCAUUUUUGAAGUGCCUUCCUCGAAAUUCUUUAUAUGCUUCCCGACUGACUUCGAUUCCGAGCUACAGACGUCCACGGUGACAUCCAAGUACACCAAGAUUUAUAACACACAAUUUUGUGCUCAAUUUCGAAAAAAAACUAAUUCUUGUAAAAACCAUAAAAUUGUAAAAAAUGCUUUGAAAUGUGGGGCGAUGACUAUAGGAUUAACAUACAAAGGGCAAGCGAAAUAUGGCCAUCUAGUGAUAUUCAGUACUGAGUAAAACGAUUGCAAAAAGAACAGACAAACUAUAAAUCGCUUUCGGAAGUUAUUUCGAAAUGCAACGAAAACAAAUCGGAGGGUAUUACUCAUCAGCGUAUGUUCAAAGGCAGCAGAGCAGUGCGAAUCACCUGAGUCACAAAGGUC
ensembl:ncRNA asRNA:CR46136 antisense RNA:CR46136